UGCCUAAAGCUUUGUUCUAAAUGUCACC
rnacentral:piRNA from 1 species